GACGAACGCUGGCGGCGUGCUUAACACAUGCAAGUCGAACGGUGAAGCGCCUUCCUUUUUGGUGGGUGUGGAUGAGUGGCGAACGGGUGAGUAACACGUGAGUAACCUGCCCCCUUCUUCUGGAUAACCGCAUGAAAGUGUGGCUAAUACGGGAUAUUCUGGGUCUGUCGCAUGAUGGGUCUGGGAAAGAUAUUGUUUCGGUGGGGGAUGGGCUCGCGGCCUAUCAGCUAGUUGGUGGGGUGAUGGCCUACCAAGGCGGUGACGGGUAGCCGGCCUGAGAGGGUGGACGGUCACACUGGGACUGAGACACGGCCCAGACUCCUACGGGAGGCAGCAGUGGGGAAUAUGGCACAAUGGGCGCAAGCCUGAUGCAGCGACGCCGCGUGAGGGAUGGAGGCCUUCGGGUUGUGAACCUCUUUCGCCAGUGAAGCAGGCCUGCCUCGUUUGUGGGUGGGUUGACGGUAGCUGGAUAAGAAGCGCCGGCUAACUACGUG
rnacentral:rRNA from 1 species